rnacentral:rRNA from 1 species
UACGUAGGGUGCGAGCGUUGUCCGGAAUUAUUGGGCGUAAAGGGCUCGUAGGCGGUCUGUUGCGUCAGGAGUGAAAACUCGGGGCCUAACCCCGAGCCUGCUUCUGAUACGGGCAGACUAGAGGUAUGCAGGGGGAGAACGGAAUUCCUGGUGUAGCGGUGAAAAUGCGUAGAGAUCGGAAAAGAACACCAACGGCGAAAGCACUCUGCUGGGCCGACACUGACACUGAGAGACGAAGCUAGGGGGAGCGAAAUGGG